UACGUAGGGUGCAAGCGUUGUCCGGAAUUAUUGGGCGUAAAGAGCUCGUAGGCGGCUUGUCACGUCGACUGUGAAACCUCCAGGCUCAACCUGGAGACGCCACUUGAUACUUCUAUGGCUUGAGUUCGGUAGGGGAUCACGGAAUUCCUGGUGUAGCGGUGGAAUGCGCAGAUAUCAGGAGGAACACCGGUGGCGAAGGCGGGUCUCUGGGCAGUAACUGACGCUGAGGAGCGAAAGCGUGGGGAGCGAACAGG
rnacentral:rRNA from 1 species